UACGUAGGCAGCAAGCGUUGUUCGGAGUUACUGGGCGUAAAGGGUGUGUAGGCGGUUGUUUAAGUUUGGUGUGAAAUCUCCCGGCUCAACUGGGAGGGUGCGCCGAAUACUGAAUGACUUCGAGUGCUGGAGAGGAAAGUGGAAUUCCUGGUGUAGCGGUGAAAUGCGUAGAUAUCAGGAGGAACACCGGUGGUGUAGACGGCUUUCUGGACCGUAACUGACGCUGAGACACGAAAGCGUGGGUAGCAAACAGG
rnacentral:rRNA from 1 species